rnacentral:lncRNA from 1 species
UUGUACAUAUGAACAUCAAAACAUUUGGCCUCCCCAGUAGCUGCAAGGAAGACCCACUACUAAUUUUUGUAGGGAUGGGAGGAACUGGGAAUGUAGUUAAUUCCAUCCAUUGAAAUGUUAGCUACCUCAAACUGCAGAUUCGGAUUGCAAGUAGAAUAUAACUAUAGCAUAAUCAUGAACUUGUUUGCCGAUGUAUCCAAAAGAACACUGGUUUUCGGGCACAAGCAGAUCUCUAUGCUCAUCCAGAUUCUAUUUUCUUGGUGACUGCAUGUCGUAGACUCAAAGUGAGAGAGCGGCAAUGUCGAUUCUACGAGCUGGCCGUGAUGUUUUCGUACUGUGAAUUAAAAUCUGCAAAAAUAAUAAUAGUAAUUUGCUGACCAUGUAGGCUCACUAGGGGCUAUUUGUUUGGAGGGACUUAUUUAUAAGUCUCUCCACUUUAGUUCCUUUUAGUCCCUAAAAUACUAAACAGGGGUGACUAAAAGGGACAAACUAUCUAGUUACAUAAGUCUCUAAGGGAGGUACUAAAAGGGACUAAAGGUCUAUAGUAUACCUACUCUACUACUCUAGCCUAUAGCUAUGUGUGUGAUGUGUACUAUUAAGUAGGUCAUUUAAUAAGGUUUUAGUCCCUUGUAGUCCCUCCAAACAAACAGGGUAUGACUAAAAGGGACUUAUGUUUUAGUCCUAGAACUGAUUUUUAGUCCUAAGACU